CCCGGGUCCAAAGAUAACGUUGAAGCGUGAAGGUUGGCUUCCGACCUUGCUCUAGACAGAGCUGUAGGUAGGUGCGAUGAUGGGCCUUGAUAAGUGGUGCUCGACACGUUUCCGGAAGGCGGUCCAGGUCGAAGUUCCAAGCAAGAGCUGUCCAUGCUUCUAGUCUUCCUCAAUUGCGAGCUCAUCGUAAGCUCCGAGCCGCCAUUUUCUUCGUCCUCGGGCCAAAAUGAAACUUGCUAAACAACAAUAAGGAAAGAAACGAAACUCCGGGUCUCGUCGCUCCUCUUGCACGUUUAGAAUCGUCCACGUAAGCACUAUUUACUACUUCGCAAAGCUACAUAUAAAUUCGGAAGAAAACACGGGAUAACAAUGAGAUACUCCCAGCAUCGCUCACCCUAAGUCUGGAGGCGAACAUAUCUUCCACGGAUUGGGGCAAGUAUUCCCUGGUAGCAGCUACCUCGCGCCACUUAUCAACCGAGGGAUGAAGAGCAGCUAACGUGAACUCAUGAAAACUCGCAUAAUGUUUCGCCAAGGAGCAUUGUCGCUCGAGAACAAAGCCGUACCUCCUUCGUUCCUGCGUCAUCGCCUGGAAAAAAAGGGUUAAGGGCCUCGAAUCCAAGUCAUGCAUUGUCGUUAGCCUGCUUUUUCCGACCGAUUCAUUAUUCAAUCACCAUCGAGCCACGACAUUGCCUUUUUCACGCCAAAAUUAAUGACCGAUGGACGACCGGCGGACCUUCGUUCAAACAUUUUUCAUGAGAGCAGAAAAACGGAAGCUGGGUACUUUAUUUAGGUUAUUUAAAAAAAAGAAAGUUAUUUAUACUUGAAAAUAAACUGAAGGCACAGCCAUUGGUCACCCCACUGUAACCGGCUCCACUACUCUACGUGCAUCAUUAUGGAUUCUGCCUUCGUGUAACAUAAGAGAAAAAUAAAGUACAAAAUUAUA